AACGAACGCUGGCGGCAUGCCUAACACAUGCAAGUCGAACGAGACACUCGGGUCUUUUGUCGCACGGGUUCGUAGCCCAUCGGAACCUUCACUUAGGUUCGGAAUAACUCCCCGACUGGGAUACUCGUACCAGAUAAUGUCUACUACCCAAAGCGUUAUCGCCUUUGGUUGGGGCCGCGUUGGAUUAACUUGUUGGUAGGGUAAAAGCCUGCCCAGGCGACGUUCCAUAGCUGGGCUGAGAGGAGGAUCCGCCACACUGGGACUGAGACACGGACCAGACUGCUACGGAAGGGAGCAGUGGGGAACAUUGGAGGAGGGGGGAAAGUGUGAUCCAGCCACGCCGGGGGAGAGGUGCAGGGCGUAGGGUUGUAAAGCUCGCUUACACGGGAUGAUAAUGACAGUACCGGGAGAAUAAGCACCGGCUAACUCCGUG
rnacentral:rRNA from 1 species